rnacentral:rRNA from 1 species
CCUACGGGUGGCAGCAGUGAGGAAUAUUGGUCAAUGGGCGCGAGCCUGAACCAGCCAAGUAGCGUGAAGGAUGACUGCCCUACGGGUUGUAAACUUCUUUUAUAAAGGAAUAAAGUGCGGCACGUGUGCCUUUUUGUAUGUACUUUAUGAAUAAGGAUCGGCUAACUCCGUGCCAGCAGCCGCGGUAAUGCGGAGGAUCCGAGCGUUAUCCGGAUUUAUUGGGUUUAAAGGGAGCGUAGAUGGGUUGUUAAGUCAGGUGUGAAAGUUUGCGGCUCAACCGUAAAAUUGCAGUUGAUACUGGGAGCCUUGAGUACAGUUGGGGUAGACGGAAUUCGUGGUGUAGCGGUGAAAUGCUUAGAUAUCACGAAGAACUCCGAUUGCGAAGGCAGCCUACUAAACUGAGACUGACAUUGAUGCUCGAAAGUGUGGGUAUCAAACAGGAUUAGAUACCCGGGUAGUC